GAUGAACGCUGGCGGCGUGCUUAACACAUGCAAGUCGAACGGAAAGGCCCUGCUUUUGUGGGGUGCUCGAGUGGCGAACGGGUGAGUAACACGUGAGUAACCUGCCCUUGACUUUGGGAUAACUUCAGGAAACUGGGGCUAAUACCGGAUAGGAUCUCCUGCUGCAUGGUGGGGGUUGGAAAGUUUCGGCGGUAGGGGAUGGACUCGCGGCUUAUCAGCUUGUUAGUGGGGUAGUUGCAUACCAAGGCUUAGACGGGUAGCCGGCCUGGGAGGGGGACCGGGGACCAUAGGCCUAAGAGAGGCAGCAGUAGCGAACGGGCGGCAAUGGGCGGAAGUAUGACACAGCGAGCGCGCGUGUGAGACGAAGGCGCUGGGUGCGGAAAGCCGGCUUAUGGGUUAAGAACAGCUGUCGCCUGAGACAAAGCGGUCGUGACGGUACUGAAUCAAGAAGCACCGGCUAACUACGUG
rnacentral:rRNA from 1 species